rnacentral:rRNA from 1 species
AUGGAGGGCAAGGAGGAGGACGUGCGGCUCGGGGCGAACAAGUACUCGGAGCGUCAGCCCAUCGGCACGGCGGCGCAGGGGUCCGAGGACAAGGACUACAAGGAGCCCCCGCCGGCGCCGCUGUUCGAGCCCGGCGAGCUCAAGUCCUGGUCCUUCUACCGCGCCGGCAUCGCCGAGUUCAUGGCCACCUUCCUCUUCCUCUACGUCACCAUCCUCACCGUGAUGGGCUACAGCGGCGCCACCUCCAAGUGCGCCACCGUCGGCAUCUAG